UGGUUCUCCUAAAACUUUUACGAUUUCUAAUGCGGCUUCCCACAUGAGAUUCGCGAACUAAAAGGGUUAUGAGAAUUCCACAGGAGCUUUCGAGAAAUUAUUGACUCUCGAACCUCGUACUGCACCGAGAGAGCUGCGACGGGGCCGUCAGAAAGACGGCCGCAACCGUACGUGCGACGAAGAAAGGUUGGUGGUCCCACUGACCGAUUUCUCCCCGACAGUGUGGGACACGGAUUAACAGUGUUUAGAGAAUCACUCGGGGAGUUGGGGAGCGUUCCAGACAGCCGCCGCCACAGCGGGCACUGGCGGGCACUCGGACAGAGGUCGGAAGGUGCUUCAGGCGAGCAAUUGAGCUGAGCAGUACUGCCGUCGAAGAAGACAGCACACACAGCCCGCCCAGUUGGACAUCGACUCCACGACAGCCGGUCGGAGCCGUCCGUCAGACGGAGACAGGUGUGCCGUGAUCAGACAGAGAGAGGUGGUCUCAUCCGACCCUCAACUGCGUGUCUCGACAGUCUCAUAGAGCUUCCGGCGAGUGGUUGGCCGUCACCGAGGACAGCCGCCAGCACUUGCGCCAGCGCGCCGUCGACUCCCCGACGGUCACUCAGAGCCAAGGGCGCUGCCCGAAAACCGCUCCACCCUUGACUCAGCCACGCCACGCGAGCGACUGUCCUUGAGAUGCAGCGGGGAAAAGCCGCCGCAGCCUCCGCAGCCGCCGCAGCCGCCAGCACGACGUGAAUGCCAAGACCCUGGUGACUGCAGCCAUGGGCGAGACAAAAGGUGCUGGCUUGAGUUCUGCAAGUGACUGCCAGCUUGGCCGGGCCGCGCCGCCACCCGAACCUCGCACAGCCGCCAGCACGCCACCCACUCCCUGGAACGACGAGCCUUGUCGGGUCCGUUGCGUGAUAUCAGCCGUGACUGACAUCUGAGCCGCAGCUUCUACCUGGAACAGCGUCAACCCCACGGCGGUCACUCCGGAAGUGGCUCUGGUGCUGGCUGGGACGCCCAAAGGUGGUUCCAGCGAGUGGUCGAUUCGGCCGGGACCAUCACGCCGUCCGAGACGCCGUCCGAGACGCCGUCCGAGACGCCGUCCACCCAUCGAUGCCACCCCCAGACCGGGAAUCGUCGCGCUGCCGGGGCCGGCAAUCCAGUCCAGGUCGAGCCCGUGGUCCAGCUCCUGGUCCAGCCCAUGGUCCAGCCCGUGGUCCAGCCCGUGGUCCAGCCCGCGGUCCAGCCCGCGGUCCAGCUCCCGGUCCAGCCCAUGGUCCAGCCCAUGGUCCGGCCCAUGGUCCAGCUCUUGGUCCAGCCCUUGGUCUAGCCCCUGGUCCAGCCCAUGGCCAGCCAACAGCCCUUGGUCCGUAGCCCAUGGUCCAACUCCUAGUCCGGCCCAUCGUCCAGCCCCUGGUCCAGCCGCGCCGACGCGCGGCCUCAGCUUGCCUGCAAGGGCGCCUGGCCGACCUGGAUGGGGGCAGCGGCACGAGGCGCGCAGAGAGCCCGUCCGCCCGUCAUCCCUCUCCGCUGCCUCCACCGGCUCCCACACUCUGUCCAAAACGAACUGCCGCUGAGGGCGUGUAUGCACGCGUCUCUUGGUGUGUGUGUGUGUGUGUGUGUGUGUGUGUGUGUGUGUGUGCGCGUGUUUACGGCCUUGGAGCCGUCACCGGUCUACUCAGCCCGAUGGGUCACCCUUUGUAAAAGUUUGUGUAAAAUGAUUGUGGGGAUAUGCUAGAACGUGCAAGAUUUCUAGCGCAUUUGCCACACAUGUUGCCCCGGUACAUGCGUUUUUGGAUUGUGUUGAAAUUUUGAACUGUGUAUGCGGGGUUGCCCCCCUCCCCCCCCCCCUCCAGUCGACCUGAGUCUGAAACUAGUCCCGAAUAUUGCAUUGUUUUCUUAAUGGUAAAGUGUACUUUGUGAUUUGUCUGUAACUGGC